CGACAGGGGAUGAUGUGCCUCGAGAAGGAGCGGAAGCUGGUGUCCGGGAACCCGACUUGCCAGUUGCUGCCGGUGGAGGAGAUAUAAUUAUUUUACCUGACCCUUUGCAUUUGCCCAUCACUUUCGCCGUCGAAACUUUCUUCAACGAGCUUCGAGGAGAUGCUGGUAAAGUCUGGUUCCGAGGGAAAUUUUCGAAGACACUGUGCAACGCUUGGAAUUGGAACGUACUCGCAUUGGCAACUCUGCCGACAUCAGGGAAGCCAUUCGAGAAAUUGCAUACGCAUUAAGAUUGUAUAAUCUUUUUGAAUAUGAUGCUGCUGGUCGGUGUGCACGGUCAGUACGCUAUACGUUUACCCUCUCAGGGUCUUUUUGGCGUAAAUGACGUUUUAGAGCGUGAACUAGAUCCCGAAGAUCUCUUGGCGGGAAUUUUGGUUGACGCCUGGAAUGCUGUUUGUGAUUUGACAGGAUUGAACGACUUUAAGAUUUAAUAAAGAUUUAUUCUUGGCUUGGA